ACUCCCACCUCUCCUUUUCCUCUUUCCCACAUCACAGCUCUCAACACUCACUUUUAUUCCCAACAUUCCUGCUUGAACUAUUACACGGGAAAACCACACCGACCAAGAAGAGUGGUCACUUUUUUUAUGUGACAGGUUUGCUGGUAGUUUGGAGGGAAAAGUACAAAAAACUAUCACAAAAUGCUGCCUAGCAACUUUUGAGUAUAUGUACAUUUGUUUUAUAAACUACUGAUACAUUACAUUCUUCAGUUGAACUCACUAAAGUACAUAGAGCUAUUAAGCUGAUAACUUUUUAAAUUGGAAAACUCCAAUACACACACUUGAGUAACCAUUUACAGCACAGAAGUAUCAAAAAAUAUAAACAAAUAUAAAUGUAAAUAAAUAGCACAACUAUUAAAAUAUAAAUAUAUAUAUAUAUAACUCUGGACUUUCCUAGCAGUCCAGUGAUUGUAUCUGCACAUUUCCAAUGCUGGCAGCAGCGAUUUGAUCUCUGGUGGGGAACUAAGAUCCCACAUGCCCUGCAGCAUGACACAUAUAUCUAUAUGUAUGCAUGUAUGUUGUUGUUUAGUCCUAAGUCAUGUCUGAUUUUUUUGCAAGCCCAUGGACUAUAACCCACGAGACUCCUCUGUCCAUGGGAUCUCCCAGGCAAGAAUACUGAAGUUGAUUGCCAUUUCCUUUCCCAAGGGAUCUUCCCAACCCAGGGAUUGAACCUGUGGCUCUUGCACUGGCAGGCAAGGGAAGGUGGAUUCUUUACCACUGAGCCACCAGGGAAGCCUAUAUAUAUAUAUAGGCACUAUAUAUAUAGGCACCUAUAUAUAUAUAUACACACACACACACAAACACACAUACAUGUGUGUGCGGUGUGUGUGUAAAACUCAAGUGACAAACAUUUCUUUAAAUCUUAUUUCAUGUGUACUUUUUGUACAGAGCUACCAGCAUUUCUAUGGUAAAAAUAAUGCUAUCACUCAAGAUAUUUUCAUAGAACUAUAAUACCAAAAAAAAUCUGUACAAAAAAAUUUAUUUUUUAAAGCAUGUAUGUAUGAGUCAAAAAACAAGAUGUAACACUAAAUAAAAGGAAUUUUUUUUACUCAUUACUAAUGUUUAUCUUAAAACAACACCCCUCCAUUUCUUCCUCUCCGUUAAAAAAAACGAAAAUAUCUGGAAUAAUACAUAGCUACUGCUAAGAGCGGUUACAGAGAUUUUAGGACUGAGGAAGAUAACUUGGAAGAAUGUGUACCAGGGAGUAUUUUACCCUUUCUUCUACUCCGUACUAAAUGCAGAGAAAAAUAACACGUCUGUAGUUUUAAAAAACUCAUGAUUACCUGAUUAGAUUGCUAAUUUA
rnacentral:lncRNA from 1 species